UCCACUUUAACCCUCUCUACUUUAACCCUCUCCACUUUAACCCUCUCCACUUUAACCCUCUCUAGAGCUGCAGGCACCCUCUCUUCUUUAACCCUCACCCUCUCCACUUUAACCCUCUCUAGAGCUGCAGGCUCCAUCCCCGCAUCGAGCUUGCGGGCGUUCCCUGGCAGCGCAUUUGUUCCCUUCUUGUUGAUCCUUGCGUCCAAUUUCUUCACAGAUGGGACCUGAGCACCUGCUCUCAUGGCUGCGUUCACUGCCUUAGGGUCUUUGAGCUCACUCACCUUUUGCUUGGUUUUGCGAAUGAUUACUCGUUCCCGGUCUUGGGUAAUCAUACCUGGGUGCCUGUUAGGCAUGGUGCCUGCUGGAGAUUGGCCGGAAACUCAAGGAUUCGCCUGAAGUUGGCCAGAAAUUCCCAGGUCUUGCCAGGAAAUGUACUGUAAUUAGGUAUCCGCCAGGAAUCAAACGGAUUAAGUGCGAUUUCACUAAAAUCAGACCAGAAAGAGAAAGAAGGCUGAGAUUUUGGCAGGAAAAGUAUAAAAAAAUCGUCUGAAAAUCAAGAUAAACGACCAAAGAGUCCAAUAAAACAAACUAAUUACAGAUCUUACUUAGAAGCUUAGACAACCUUUUUUUUUAACAGUACCUAGAAUCUUAGACAAUCGUCAGAGAAAAUAAACCUUGAUCAAAUAUCGAAGGCUUGACGGUGGCCUGUAAUGUAAAAAUGGCCAGGAAAAUCAAGGAACUAUGCCGCAAACUUCGAGAGAUACGGCCGCAAAUGGAAACUAUCACCUGGAAAGUAAGGAACCCUGAGAGAAACAGCGCCAGAAAAUUGGAGAUAAUGGACAGUAAAACGAGAAAACACGCUGAGAAAGAGCGAACUUGCGCCGGAAAUCUGAGAAAAACACCGGAAAAUUGAGAAUUCGUCGGAAAGCGAAGAGUCUUGGUCGGAAAAUGGAAAAGCGAGGAGCUAACUGGAAAAAAACGAGGUAAAACAAAUCGGAAAACAAGGAAACGUAAAUGAGAAUGCAGAGAGAGAAAAUAGAACUGACCAGGUAAUCCGAGAAAGGCAAUGCGAGCGAGCGAGCGAGAGAGAGAGAGCGAUAUUUAUAGAGGGAAGAAGGCCUCUCUGGGA
rnacentral:lncRNA from 1 species